ensembl:lncRNA
CCUUUGAGUAAACAGGGCAGAGAAACCGCUCCGUCUUUGUUCAUUCCUGUAGGUUCCCGGCACUCACAACUGGGGUAUAUAUGCAUCCUUUGUUUUUAUAAAGCACGUCCACAAGGGAGAAACCCUAAAGCUAAUUCGAAAAGCAGGGAGGGGCGUCGGUGAUCUCCCACAGCGGAAAAGCACGGAAAUGAAAUUCUCUAAAUUUUAAACUCCCUUUUAUUGAAAUAUAAGUUUGUUUAGUAUAUUUACAACACGCUUUAUGCACAUAUAUACACAGAAGGCAAAUUUUGUCAAAUAAAAAAAGUUUCUCCUGAUUAAAAAAAAAACUAAAAUAAAAAAAAAAACCAACAACAAAACAAAGUAAAGUGCAUGAAACUCAUUUGCUUCUGGUGAACAUCAUCAUUGUCAAAAUUUUGGUCGGAGGGGAGGAGGGGAGGAGGGGAGGGAGAAAUCCACUACUUGACUCCGCGCCGACGGAGGGUCCUGCAAUCUGGAGGCUUUAGGCCCAAAGGGCAUGUGGUUAGGAACAAGGCAGGCACCUGGCCAGGGUCAGCGGGGCCCCCCCCCCCCCCCCCCGGGUUCUGAGGGUCCUGCUCCCUUUGUCCUACCGGGAGCCUUCCCCCAGCCCCUAGCAGUGAUCUCACCAUCACGCCGCCGCCGGAACAAAGGCAGAGCACAGGAAGGGGGCUGCGCCAGCCGAUGUCACAGCCCAGCUCCGGGCCACCAGCGCUGCGUUGGGUGGGAAACGCACAAAUUAGCUCAACGGCUCCAACACGAGUUUUCCUUUUUCGGAGAGGGAAUGGGGGUGCGGGUGGGGGAGAGGCAAGGGAUGGGACGCAUCUCCCACGGAGACGGCCGGCCACCCGGGGCGGGGUGGGGGUGGGGGUGGGGGUGCAAACUCCUCCGGCGGCGGCGGGUGUCUCCGGAUCCAAACUCGGUGCGGCCACGGGGCAGCGUCCUCCUGCAGGCUGGGCCGGGGGAACGUUCCACUUCUCGCCCCGGAGACGCCGUCCUCCGCGAACUUUGAAAGGAGACGGCACGAGAUGGCGAGCCAGGGGCAGGGCAGCACCUCUGAGCUCCAGCCACCUGGAAGGCUCUUGGAUAAGAAUUGGCCUCCCCCCCUCCCUUUCCCGCUCUGCAGGAGGGUGUCCCGGAUCCAAACCAAGAUCCCCAGGUAAGAUGCAAGGUUGGGGGUGGAGGCGGAAUCCACCUCCUGAAAGCAGGCAAUGGAAAUCUGUUUUCUCACAUGUGAUUCUUUCUCUCUUUAGCCCCCAUCAGGUGCACAUGGGGAGGGGGGUUCAGCUUUAUUAG